rnacentral:rRNA from 1 species
UUGGAGGGCAGUCUGGUGCAGCAGCCGCGGUAAUUCCAGCUCCAAUAGCGUAUAUUAAAGUUGUUGCAGUUAAAAAGCUCGUAGUUGAAUUUCGGGAUCAAUAUGUCGGUCGUGCCAUCGGUACGUACUGGUAUCAUUGGUCUCUCCUUUCUGACGAACCAUGAUGUCAUUAAUUUGGUGUUAUGGGGAGUUAGGACUGUUACUUUGAAAAAAUUAGAGUGUUUAAAGCAGGCAUUAGCUUGAAUACAUUAGCAUGGAAUAAUGAAAUAGGACGUUCGAACCUAUUUUGUUGGUUUCUAGGAUCAACGUAAUGAUUAAUAGGGAUAGUUGGGGGCAUUAGUAUUCAAUUGUCAGAGGUGAAAUUCUUGGAUUUAUUGAAGACUAACUACUGCGAAAGCAUUUGCCGAGGAUGUUUUCAUUAAUCAAGAACGAAAGUUAGGGGAUCGAAGACGAUCAGAUACCGUCGUAGUCUUAACCAUAAACUAUGCCGACUAGGGAUCGGAUGAUGUUAAUUUUUUAAUGACUCAUUCGGCGCCUUACGGGAAAC